rnacentral:tRNA from 1 species
UGUUCUGUAGCUUAGUUGGUUAAAGCGCCGGUCUAGCGUACACGGAGUUGUUAGUUCGAGUCUCACUAGAACGC